ensembl:lncRNA
UAGGUUUUUGGUUUGGUGGCAUUGUCCAUUAGCAUGGGAAAUAGUGGAGUGAUGGCAUUGGUGGACAUGGGAAGGCUGACAGGUGUCAUCUAUCUGGACUUUUGCAAAGCCUUUGAAAGAAUGGCUUUCCGAAAAUAUCUGCGGUUCUACUCAGUCCUCAGAAUUUAUUUUUACUGGAAACUUUUGAAUUAGCUUAAGGAAUGAGAUGAAUGAAUAAGAAGUGUGCUACAGAGAGAUUGUCAGCAAGGACAAAGUCUGGUUACUUGAAAGUGGAAACUGAAGUAAUUAAAUGCAUUAUUUGAAAAAAGGAGCUAUGCUUGAACCAUCCUGCUUCUGAUGAAUGUUUUGUAGAGCUGGUCCUUGAUAGGAAUCCCUGAAUGGCUCCAGGCCCUUUCACUUGGAGCAGUACCGCCUCUAGCACUGCUGUGCACAGUUGCAUGUGAUUUUAGAGGAAAUAAAAUCUGUAUAAGAC